rnacentral:rRNA from 1 species
UGGGGAAUAUUGGACAAUGGGCGCAAGCCUGAUCCACCCAUGCCGCGUGAGUGAUGAAGGCCCUAGGUUUUUAAAGCUCUUUCACCGGUGAAGAUAAUGACGGUAACCGUAGAAGAAGCCCCGGCUAACUUCGUGCCAGCAGCCGCGGUAAUACGAAGGGGGCUAGCGUUGUUCGGAUUUACUGUGCGUAAAGCGCACGUAGGCGGACUUUUAAGUCAGGGGUGAAAUCCCGGGGCUCAACCACGGAACUGCCUUUGAUACUGGAAGUCUUGAGGAUGGUAGAGGUGAGUGGAAUUCCGAGUGUAGAGGUGAAAAUCGUAGAAAUUGGGAGGAAAAACAGUGGAGAAGGCGGCGCACUGGAAAAAUACUGACGAUGAGGUGAGAAAGCGUGGGGAGCAAAAAGG